GAUGAACGCUGGCGGCGUGCCUAAUACAUGCAAGUCGAGCGACCAGACGAGAAGCUUGCUCCUCUGACGUUAGCGGCGGACGGGUGAGUAACACGUGGAUAACCUACCUAUAAGACUGGGAUAACUUCGGGAAACCGGAGCUAAUACCGGAUAAUAUAUUGAACCGCAUGGUUCAAUAGUGAAAGACGGUUUUGCUGUCACUUAUAGAUGGAUCCGCGCCGCAUUAGCUAGUUGGUAAGGUAACGGCUUACCAAGGCGACGAUGCGUAGCCGACCUGAGAGGGUGAUCGGCCACACUGGAACUGAGACACGGUCCAGACUCCUACGGGAGGCAGCAGUAGGGAAUCUUCCGCAAUGGGCGAAAGCCUGACGGAGCAACGCCGCGUGAGUGAUGAAGGUUUUCGGAUCGUAAAACUCUGUUAUUAGGGAAGAACAAAUGUGUAAGUAACUAUGCACGUCUUGACGGUACCUAAUCAGAAAGCCACGGCUAACUACGUG
rnacentral:rRNA from 1 species